AGCGAACGCUAGCGGCAGGCUUAACACAUGCAAGUCGAGCGCCAGGUUUCGGCCUGGAGCGGCGAACGGGUGAGUAACACGUAGGUCACGUACCCUAUGGUGGGGAAUACCCCGGGGAAACUCGGAUCAAUGCCCCAUAUGUCCGAAAGGAUGAAAGCGCUUCGGCGCGCCAGAGGAUCGGCCUGCGGCCCAUUAUUUAAUCCUAGUUGGUGAGGUAACGGCGCACCAAGGGUACGAUGGGUAGCUGGUCUGAGAGGACGAUCAGCCACACUGGAACCGAGACACGGUCCGGACUCCGACGGGAGGCAGCAGUGGGGAAUAUUGGACAAUGGGCGAAGGCCUGAUCCAGCCAUGCCGCGUGAGGGAUGAAGGCCUUCGGGUUGUAAAGCUCUGUCGUGGGGGAAGAAGUUCUGACGGUACCCCACAAGAAAGCACCGGCUAACUCCGUGCCAGCAGCCGCGGUAAGAC
rnacentral:rRNA from 1 species